GUGGGGAAUCUUGCGCAAUGGGCGAAAGCCUGACGCAGCCAUGCCGCGUGAAUGAUGAAGGUCUUAGGAUUGUAAAAUUCUUUCACCGGGGACGAUAAUGACGGUACCCGGAGAAGAAGCUCCGGCUAACUUCGUGCCAGCAGCCGCGGUAAUACGAAGGGGGCUAGCGUUGCUCGGAAUUACUGGGCGUAAAGGGCGCGUAGGCGGACAGCUUAGUCAGAGGUGAAAGCCCAGGGCUCAACCUUGGAAUUGCCUUUGAUACUGGCUGUCUUGAGUUUGGGAGAGGUGAGUGGAACUCCGAGUGUAGAGGUGAGAUUCGUAGAUAUUCGGAAGAACACCAGUGGCGAAGGCGACUCACUGGCCCAAUACUGACGCUGAGGCGCGAAAGCGUGGGGAGCAAACAGGAUUAGAAACCCCUGUAGUCC
rnacentral:rRNA from 1 species